CCUACGGGGGGCAGCAGUGGGGAAUUUUGGACAAUGGGCGCAAGCCUGAUCCAGCCAUUCCGCGUGCAGGACGAAGGCCUUCGGGUUGUAAACUGCUUUUGUACGGAACGAAAAAGCCUUGGCUAAUACCCAGGGUCCAUGACGGUACCGUAAGAAUAAGCACCGGCUAACUACGUGCCAGCAGCCGCGGUAAUACGUAGGGUGCGAGCGUUAAUCGGAAUUACUGGGCGUAAAGCGUGCGCAGGCGGUUAUAUAAGACAGAUGUGAAAUCCCCGGGCUC
rnacentral:rRNA from 1 species